rnacentral:rRNA from 1 species
AACGAACGCUGGCGGCAUGCCUAACACAUGCAAGUCGAACGAGACCUUCGGGUCUAGUGGCGCACGGGUGCGUAACGCGUGGGAACCUGCCCUUAGGUUCGGAAUAACUCCCCGAAAGGGGUGCUAAUACCGGAUAAUGUCUUCGGACCAAAGAUUUAUCGCCUUUGGAUGGGCCCGCGUUGGAAUAGCUAGUUGGUAGGGUAAAAGCCUGCCAAGGCGACGAUCCAUAGCUGGUCUGAGAGGAUGAUCAGCGACACUGGGACUGAGACACGGCCCAGACUACUACGGGAGGCAGCAGUGGGGGAUAUUGGACAAUGGGCGAAAGCCUGAUCCAGCAAUGCCGCGUGAGUGAUGAAGGCCUUAGGGUUGUAAAGCUCUUUUACCCGGGAUGAUAAUGACAGUACCGGGAGAAUAAGCUCCGGCUAACUCCGUG